AGCAGCCGCGGUAAUUCCAGCUCCAAUAGCGUAUAUUAAAGUUGCUGCAGUUAAAAAGCUCGUAGUUGAAUUUCGGGAUCAAUAUGUUGGUCGUGCCUUGGUACGUACUAGCUUAUUGAUUUCUCCUUUCUGACGAACCAUGAUGUCAUUAAUUUGGUGUCAUGGGGAAUCAGGACUGUUACUUUGAAAAAAUUGAGUGUUUAAAGCAGGCUCGCGCUUGAAUACAUUAGCAUGGAAUAAUGAAAUAGGACAUUUGAUUCUAUUUUGUUGGUUCUAGGAUCGAUGUAAUGAUUAAUAGGGAUAGUUGGGGGCAUUAGUAUUCAAUUGUCAGAGGUGAAAUUCUUGGAUUUAUGAAGACUAACUACUGCGAAAGCAUUUGCCAAGGAUGUUUCAUUAAUCAAGAACGAAAGUUAGGGGAUCGAAGAUGAUCAGAUACCGUGUAGUCUUAACCAUAAACUAUGCCGACUAGGGAUCGGAUGAUGUUAAUUUUANGUA
rnacentral:rRNA from 1 species